rnacentral:piRNA from 1 species
UGUUUUGACCACAUUAUAAAU